rnacentral:rRNA from 1 species
GUGCCAGCAGCCGCGGUAAUACGUAGGGUGCGAGCGUUAAUCGGAAUUACUGGGCGUAAAGGGUGCGCAGGCGGUUUUGUAAGACAGGCGUGAAAUCCCCGGGCUCAACCUGGGAACUGCGUUUAUGACUGGCAGGCUAGAGUAUGGCAGAGGGGGGUGGAAUUCCACGUGUAGCAGUGAAAUUCGUAGAUAUCAGGAGGAACACCGGUGGCGAAGGCGACUUUCUGGCCCUAUACUGACGCUGAGACGCGAAAGCGUGGGUAGCAAACAGGAUUAGAUACCCUGGUAGUCCACGCUGUAA